CCUACGGGAGGCAGCAGUGAGGAAUAUUGGUCAAUGGGCGGAAGCCUGAACCAGCCAAGUAGUGUGCGGGAUGAAGGCCCUACGGGUCGUAAACCGCUUUUGCACGGGGAUAACACCCUCCACUCGUGGAGGUCCGCAGGUACCCUGAGAAUAAGGGCCGGCUAAUUCCGUGCCAGCAGCCGCGGUAAUACGGAAGAUCCGAGCGUUAUCCGGAUUUAUUGGGUUUAAAGGGUGCGUAGGCGGACGAUCAAGUCAGCGGUAAAAUUGAGAGGCUCAACCGCGGCGCGCCGUUGAAACUGGUUUUCUUGAGUGAGCGAGUAGUAUGCGGAAUGCGUGGUGGAGCGGGGAAAUGCAUAGAUAGCACGCAGA
rnacentral:rRNA from 1 species